rnacentral:rRNA from 1 species
CUCCUUUGACGUUAGCGGCGGACGGGUGAGUAACACGUGGGUAACCUACCUAUAAGACUGGGAUAACUUCGGGAAACCGGAGCUAAUACCGGAUAAUAUUUCGAACCGCAUGGUUCGAUAGUGAAAGGUGGUUUUGCUAUCACUUAUAGAUGGACCCGCGCCGUAUUAGCUAGUUGGUAAGGUAACGGCUUACCAAGGCGACGAUACGUAGCCGACCUGAGGAGGGUGAUCGGCCACACUGGAACUGAGACACGGUCCAGACUCCGUACGGGAGGCAGCAGUU